GGGUGAAAAAGAUACAGUAAAGAGAUAAAUACAACAUUUGACAGAUGGACAAAAAGGAGUGUCAUGAAAAGAGUAGCAGCAGUGAUGAAGAGCUGUUGAGACGGGACCAUGGAUCCAGUAGGAGUGUAGAUGCAUCAGAACUCAUAAGACAGCAGACAGUACUGGUUGACAAUAGCAUACAGAAACUGCGAGACACGAGAACUGGAAUUUUUUCUCAGGCUGAAGCCUGUGUGACAGAUGAUACGUAAGGGACAUCUGUUGGUUGGGGAAAAAUGAAAGAUUUGGAAUUUUGCUGCACUGGUUCAUGUACAUUCAUAAGAAGCAAAGACGUGUAGGUUAUUUGCAUAAAAAUUAGUAUAUAUGUUACUUUUCUUCUUUGUUAUCAUAAGUUUUUACUUCAAAAGAGUU